rnacentral:rRNA from 1 species
ACGUAGGUGGCAAGCGUUGUCCGGAAUUAUUGGGCGUAAAGAGCAUGUAGGCGGCCUAUUAAGUCGGGCGUGAAAAUGCGGGGCUCAACCCCGUAUGGCGCCCGAUACUGGUGGGCUUGAGUGCAGGAGAGGAAAGGGGAAUUCCCAGUGUAGCGGUGAAAUGCGUAGAUAUUGGGAGGAACACCAGUGGCGAAGGCGCCUUUCUGGACUGUGUCUGACGCUGAGAUGCGAAAGCCAGGGGAGCGAACGG